rnacentral:lncRNA from 1 species
ACUGACUUCAACUAAGUGAAGAUCAGAGAGAACAUAAAACUAGCAAAAUUGAGAGCUCCAAGCUGUUGAGGCCUUGUCUUCAAACUGCCAAGCUACCUGAUGGCUUACUAACAAAGAGACAAGUGAAUCUAUUGAAUCCCCCCCCCUUUUUUUUCUGCUGACCUGGAAAUAAUGCAAACUUCCUCUUUUCACAGCUGUGUGCCAACCACAAUGCAAACGUGGUGAAUGUGUCGGAUCCAGCAAGCAGCAUCCUGGGUGUGCUGGAAAAACCUGCAGUGCAGGAAGCCCCCUUUGAGGAUAAAAGAAUUCAUCUAAGAGUCAGACCCCUUCCUGGCUGGUGUGUCCGUGUCUGUCAGAUGACAAGCCGUGGGGAGUCAAUAGCACCCUCACCCCACUCCAUCUGUGAUCCCGGAGAACAAGAGAAGAGGGAAGCAGAUCCCGCUCCUGUGAUUUCAAUUACAGGGAGGUGAAAAAUUAUUUGAUAUCCGAGCUUGCUAAAGGCGCCCAUUCCUUCUGCUCCAAAGAUCUUUCCCGCGAAACUGAACAAAAGAGGAGAAAGAAGUUUCGAUGCAUAUUGAGGGGAAGGGGAGUGGGGAGAAAGCCAGCACAGCAGGCAGAGAGUUGAUGACAAUGCAGACAAAAGAAAGAACUUCUUAAGAUUCUUUCUAAGAAAUGGAAUUCGCCCGGCACUGGUUCUUUUAUUAGAACCUUUCUCGCCCUCUCCCUUGCUCUGUAUCUCCCAC